rnacentral:rRNA from 1 species
AUUGAACGCUGGCGGCAUGCCUUACACAUGCAAGUCGAACGGCAGCACGGGAGCAAUCCUGGUGGCGAGUGGCGAACGGGUGAGUAAUGUAUCGGAACGUACCUUUCAGUGGGGGAUAACGUAGCGAAAGUUACGCUAAUACCGCAUAUUCUGUGAGCAGGAAAGCAGGGGAUCGCAAGACCUUGCGCUGAUUGAGCGGCCGAUAUCAGAUUAGCUAGUUGGUGAGGUAAAGGCUCACCAAGGCGAUGAUCUGUAGCGGGUCUGAGAGGAUGAUCCGCCACACUGGAACUGAGACACGGUCCAGACUCCUACGGGAGGCAGCAGUGGGGAAUUUUGGACAAUGGGCGCAAGCCUGAUCCAGCCAUGCCGCGUGAGUGAAGAAGGCCUCGGUUGUAAG